CCGGUAGUUGAAAUGGCUUUCCCUCCAGAGUGGAUCCUGAGUACGGCGGAACACGUGAAAUUCCGUCGGAAUCCGGGAGGACCAUCUCCCAAGGCUAAAUACUCCCUAGUGACCGAUAGUGAACCAGUACCGUGAGGGAAAGGUGAAAAGCACCCCGGAAGGGGAGUGAAACAGUUCCUGAAACCGUGUGCCUACAAGUAGUUAGAGCCCGUUAAUGGGUGAUAGCGUGCCUUUUGUAGAAUGAACCGGCGAGUUACGAUUUGUUGCAAGGUUAAGCGGAAAAAGCGGAGCCGUAGCGAAAGCGAGUCUGAAUAGGGCGCAUAAGUAACAGGUCGUAGACCCGAAACCAGGUGAUCUACCCAUGUCCAGGAUGAAGGUAAGGUAAUACUUACUGGAGGUCCGAACCCACGCACGUUGAAAAGUGCGGGGAUGAGGUGUGGGUAGCGGAGAAAUUCCAAUCGAACUUGGAGAUAGCUGGUUCUCUCCGAAAUAGCUUUAGGGCUAGCCUCGAGGUAAAGAGUCAUGGAGGUAGAGCACUGUUUGGACUAGGGGCCCUUCUCGGGUUACCGAAUUCAGAUAAACUCCGAAUGCCAUGUACUUAUACUCGGGAGUCAGACUGCGAGUGAUAAGAUCCGUAGUCGAAAGGGAAACAGCCCAGACCACCAGUUAAGGUCCCCAAAUAUAUGUUAAGUGGAAAAGGAUGUGGGGUUGCUUAGACAACCAGGAUGUUGGCUUAGAAGCAGCCACCAUUGAAAGAGUGCGUAAUAGCUCACUGGUCGAGUGACCCCGCGCCGAAAAUGUACCGGGGCUAAACAUAUUACCGAAACUGUGGAUGAACCUCUUUAGAGGUUCGUGGUAGGAGAGCGUUCUAAGGGCGGUGAAGUCAGACCGGAAGGACUGGUGGAGCGCUUAGAAGUGAGAAUGCCGGUAUGAGUAGCGAAAGAAGGGUGAGAAUCCCUUCCACCGAAUAUCUAAGGUUUCCUGAGGAAGGCUCGUCCGCUCAGGGUUAGUCGGGACCUAAGCCGAGGCCGAUAGGCGUAGGCGAUGGACAACAGGUAGAGAUUCCUGUACCAGUGCUAAUUGUUUAACCGAUGGGGUGACACAGAAGGAUAGGGAAUCGCACGAAUGGAAAUGUGCGUCCAAGCAGUGAGUGUGAGAAGUAGGCAAAUCCGCUUCUUGCGAAGCAUGAGCUGUGAUGGGGAAGGAAAUUAAGUACGGAAGUUCCUGAUUUCACGCUGUCAAGAAAAGCCUCUAGGAAGAGUAGUACUGCCCGUACCGCAAACCGACACAGGUAGAUGAGGAGAGAAUCCUAAGGUGAGCGAGAGAACUCUCGUUAAGGAACUCGGCAAAAUGACCCCGUAACUUCGGGAGAAGGGGUGCUCUAUUAGGGUGCAAGCCCGAGAGAGCCGCAGUGAAUAGGCCCAGGCGACUGUUUAGCAAAAACACAGGUCUCUGCAAAACCGUAAGGUGACGUAUAGGGGCUGACGCCUGCCCGGUGCUGGAAGGUUAAGAGGAGUGCUUAGCUUCGGCGAAGGUACGAAUUGAAGCCCCAGUAAACGGCGGCCGUAACUAUAACGGUCCUAAGGUAGCGAAAUUCCUUGUCGGGUAAGUUCCGACCCGCACGAAAGGCGCAACGAUCUGGGCACUGUCUCAACGAGAGACUCGGUGAAAUUAUAGUACCUGUGAAGAUGCAGGUUACCCGCGACAGGACGGAAAGACCCCGUGGAGCUUUACUGCAACCUGAUAUGGAAUGUUUGUACCGCUUGUACAGGAUAGGUAGGAGCCGAAGAGACGUGUGCGCUAGCAUACGAGGAGGCAAUGGUGGGAUACUACCCUGGCUGUAUGACCAUUCUAACCCGCCACGCUUAGCGCGUGGGGAGACAGUGUCAGGUGGGCAGUUUGACUGGGGCGGUCGCCUCCUAAAGAGUAACGGAGGCGCCCAAAGGUUCCCUCAGAAUGGAUGGAAAUCAUUCGCAGAGUGUAAAGGCACAAGGGAGCUUGACUGCGAGACUGACAAGUCGAGCAGGGACGAAAGUCGGGCUUAGUGAUCCGGUGGUUCCGCAUGGAAGGGCCAUCGCUCAACGGAUAAAAGCUACCCCGGGGAUAACAGGCUUAUCUCCCCCAAGAGUCCACAUCGACGGGGAGGUUUGGCACCUCGAUGUCGGCUCGUCGCAUCCUGGGGCUGUAGUCGGUCCCAAGGGUUGGGCUGUUCGCCCAUUAAAGCGGCACGCGAGCUGGGUUCAGAACGUCGUGAGACAGUUCGGUCCCUAUCCGUCGCGGGCGCAGGAAAUUUGAGAGGAGCUGUCCUUAGUACGAGAGGACCGGGAUGGACACACCGCUGGUGUACCAGUUGUUCCGCCAGGAGCAUCGCUGGGUAGCUAUGUGUGGCAGGGAUAAACGCUGAAAGCAUCUAAGCGUGAAGCCCCCCUCAAGAUGAGAUUUCCCAUUUCUUCGGAAAGUAAGAUCCCUGAAAGAUGAUCAGGUAGAUAGGUUUGGAGUGGAAGUGUAGCGAUACAUGGAGCGGACAAAUACUAAUCGAUCGAGGACUUAACCAAAA
rnacentral:rRNA from 1 species